ACACGACUACAUUAGAUACCCCUGUAGUCCUAGCCGUAAACGAUACUCGCUAGGUGUCGGCCACGGUGCGACCGUUGUCGGUGCCGUAGGGAAGCCGUGAAGCGAGCCACCUGGGAAGUACGGUCGCAAGGCUGAAUCUUAAAGGAAUUGGCGGGGGAGCACCACAACGGGUGGAGCCUGCGGUUUAAUUGGACUCAACGCCGGGAAGCUCACCGGAUAAGACAGCGGAAUGAUUGCCGGGCUGAAGACCCUGCAUGACCAGCUG
rnacentral:rRNA from 1 species